rnacentral:rRNA from 1 species
UACGAAGGGGGCUAGCGUUGUUCGGAAUUACUGGGCGUAAAGCGCGCGCAGGCGGUUCUUUAAGUCAGGGGUGAAAGCCCAGAGCUCAACUCUGGAAUUGCCUUUGAAACUAGAGAACUUGGGUACGGGAGAGGUGAGUGGAAUUCCGAGUGUAGAGGUGAAAUUCGUAGAUAUUCGGAAGAACACCAGUGGCGAAGGCGGCUCACUGGCCCGUUACCGACGCUCAGGCGCGACAGCGUGGGGAGCAAGCAGG